rnacentral:rRNA from 1 species
UACCUGCAGCUCAAGUGGUGGCCGCUAUUAUUGGGCCUAAAACGUUCGUAGCCGGUUUGGUAAAUGCCUGGGUAAAUUGUGUAGCUUAACUAUACAAAUUCCGGGUAGACUGCCAAACUUGAGACCGGGAGAAGCUAGAGGUACUCCUGGGGUAGAGGUGAAAUUCUGUAAUCCUGGGGGGACCACCAGUGGCGAAGGCGUCUAGCUAGAACGAGUUUGACGGUGAGGAACGAAGCCCUGGGGCGCAAACCGGAUUAGAUACCCGGGUAGUCCAGGGUGUAAACGCUGCUUGCUUGAUGUUAGUUGGGCCCCGAGCCCAAUUAGUGUCGGAGAGAAGUUGUUAAGCAAGCUGCCUGGGAAGUACGAUCGCAAGAUUGAAACUUAAAGGAAUUGGCGGGGGAGCACAGCAACGGGUGGAGCGUGCGGUUU